rnacentral:rRNA from 1 species
AGUGAACGCUGGCGGUAGGCCUAACACAUGCAAGUCGAACGGCAGCACAGUAAGAGCUUGCUCUUACGGGUGGCGAGUGGCGGACGGGUGAGGAAUACAUCGGAAUCUACUUUUUCGUGGGGGAUAACGUAGGGAAACUUACGCUAAUACCGCAUACGACCUACGGGUGAAAGCAGGGGAUCUUCGGACCUUGCGCGAUUGAAUGAGCCGAUGUCGGAUUAGCUAGUUGGCGGGGUAAAGGCCCUCCAAGGCGACGAUCCGUAGCUGGUCUGAGAGGAUGAUCAGCCACACUGGAACUGAGACACGGUCCAGACUCCGACGGGAGGCAGCAGUGGGGAAUAUUGGACAAUGGGCGCAAGCCUAAUCCAGCCAUACCGCGUGGGUGAAGAAGGCCUUCGGGUUGUAAAGCCCUUUUGUUGGGAAAGAAAAGCAGCAGGUUAAUACCCCGCUGUUCUGACGGUACCCAAAGAAUAAGCACCGGCUAACUUCGUG